ensembl:snoRNA SNORD15 Small nucleolar RNA SNORD15
CUUCAGUGAUGAUACGAUGACGAGUCAGAAAGGACACUUCUUGUGUAAGUGUAGCCUGUUCAGUGCCAUGUUCUUUGGUACUGUGCUUAGGGUACCUUAGCAGAGUGUCCUGUUCAUUGGAUGAUUUAGAGGCAUUUGUCUGAGAAGG